UACGUAGGGAGCAAGCGUUGUCCGGAUUUAUUGGGCGUAAAGAGCUCGUAGGCGGCUUGUUACGUCGACUGUGAAAACCCGCGGCUCAACCGUGUGGUCUGCAGUCGAUACGGGCAGGCUAGAGUUCGGUAGGGGAGACUGGAAUUCCAGGUGUAGCGGUGAAAUGCGUAGAUAUCUGGAGGAACACCGGUGGCGAAGGCGGCAUCCUGGGACCGGCAGUUGACGCUGAGGCGCGAAAGCCAGGGGAGCAAAGCGGG
rnacentral:rRNA from 1 species